rnacentral:rRNA from 1 species
CCUACGGGAGGCAGCAGUAGGGAAUUUUGCGCAAUGGGCGAAAGCCUGACGCAGCAACGCCGCGUGAUCGAGACGCCCUUCGGGGUGUAAAGAUCUGUCAGUGGGGACGAAACUUGACGGUACCUACAGAGGAAGCACCGGCUAACUCCGUGCCAGCAGCCGCGGUAAUACGGGGGGUGCAAGCGUUGUCCGGAAUCAUUGGGCGUAAAGAGUUCGUAGGCGGCACGUAAAGUCUGGUGUUAAAGGCAGAGGCUUAACUUCGGUACGGCACUGGAUACUGGCGGGCUAGAAUGCGGUAGAGGUAGAGGGAAUUCCUGGUGGAGCGGUGAAAUGCUUAGAUAUGAGGAGGAACAUCGGUGGCGUAGGCGGUUUGCUGGACCGUAAUUGACGCUGAGGCACGAAAGCGAGGGUAGCAAAUGGGAUUAGAUACCCUUGUAGUC